AAAACUCAUUGCUCUCUCUUAGCAAGACAGCCUUAGGUCAGCAAAAGUAAAUGCAGGGAGGUGAAUUUGUGAAAGGUUUUCUUUCCAGUUGUAGAUAAAGAGUUAUGUUAAUAGACAGCCAGCUAUAGUAGUACCUGAAAAAUUUUGAGAUAACCCACAGCACACUUUAUACUCUGAAACGUAUUAACUUCUGAACACGGCUCAAGGAGGUUCUCAGCUCUCAAUAUCCCCAUACUGCCCAUGAAAAGUAAAUGGCAGCACUCACCCAGAAAGCUGAACACCUGUGGGGCACAGCCCCACUUAUGCAUGGGGGCUAUAACAGGCUGCAUCUGGCCUUGCUUGACUGGUUACUGGAGGGGGAGGCAUAGGGUAGCUCUGAGCCUUGACCAGAAAACAGCUGAUUUGGAGGCUUUGCUUGUGCUGCUUUGGCUUGGAAAUAGGAGGGGUUUACUGGAAGUGGAAGUUAAACCCCUCAUCUCGGAGGAAGUGUCCAAGCUUUUCAGAGUUAAGGCUUACUGCACAGCACCCUGUCAGAUCACUUCUAUUCAUAUGAAAGUCACUAAGCUGAAUCAAUGAAGCUGGCAUGCAGCUUAGCACUACCAUAACAGACAAAAUCAUCUCUUAUGCUUGCUGUAUGUCUUUCAGUGUAUUACUCCAUUUCUUUAACAAAAACAUGGAAAGUGAUGCAAGCCUUCCCUGAAGAGAUGAAGGCUGAGAUGACAGAACUUGCUCAGAGUAGAAAUGGAUGCAGAUUAAGAUUGAAGUCCCCACAGCAGUAACAACCAAGGCUUUGUCUGCUUGGAAAGGAACCAAGUAGGAGCUGUCUACACACAAAACAGUAAUAAUGUCAAAAUCUGCAUCCACAGAGUUUAUAUAAGUGAUUCAGUUAUGGUGUUAACUGUAAAAAUAGAGCUUUAUCUUAACUUUUAAUUCUUCUUUUUCAGAGUACAUGGCAAAUCUGAUACUAAGGAGAGCACUAAGAAAUAGGUGGAUUGUUUGAAAGGGGUCUAAGGUUUAAGCUUUGCUAAAAAGUUUUAACUUCUGUAAUCUUUGGGUAAUUAUGUAAAAAUUAAUAUUUAUUCUAUACAAAACGAUUCAGAAUUGGAAUGUAUUAAGAGAAUAGAAUCUUCACUCUGUGAAAACUCAUUCUUAAUUUUACCUGCUGUUCUUUCCCAUUUAUUUCAGUAGGAUUGUCUGUACUUCUGUAAAGCACAUUUGUGAGUCUACAAAAGAACCAGGCUUAAAAUGUUCUUGUUGGGGAUACAAACCAUAGAAAUUAAGAAUGUAAACAGUAUGAUGCCAAUAAAACAACUUUUUACCACUGUUAUCUUUGAUUU
rnacentral:lncRNA from 1 species